UACGUAGGGGGCUAGCGUUGUCCGGAAUCAUUGGGCGUAAAGCGCGUGUAGGCGGUCCGGUAAGUCCGCUGUGAAAGUCGGGGGCUCAACCCUCGGAUGCCGGUGGAUACUGCAAGGCUCGAGUCCGGAAGAGGCGAGUGGAACUGCGAGUGUAGAGGUGAAAUCGUAGAUAUUCGCAAGAACACCAGUGGCGAAGGCGGCUCACUGGCCCGGUACUGACGCUGAGGUGCGAAAGCGUGGGGAGCAAACAGG
rnacentral:rRNA from 1 species